rnacentral:rRNA from 1 species
CAGUAGCCGCGGUAAUACGUAGGGUGCAAGCGUUGUCCGGAAUUAUUGGGCGUAAAGAGCGUGUAGGCGGCUCGACAAGUCCGCUGUGAAAGUCCAGGGCUCAACCCUGGAAUGCCGGUGGAUACUGUCGAGCUAGAGUCCGGAAGGGGCGAGUGGAACUCCUGGUGUAGCGGUGAAAUGCGCAGAUAUCAGGAAGAACACCAAUGGCGAAGGCAGCUCGCUGGGACGUGACUGACGCUGAGACGCGAAAGCGUGGGGAGCGAACAGGAUUAGAUACCCCUGUAGUCCCUGUCUCUUAUAC